CCUACGGGUGGCAGCAGUGAGGAAUAUUGGUCAAUGGACGAGAGUCUGAACCAGCCAAGUAGCGUGAAGGAUGACUGCCCUAUGGGUUGUAAACUUCUUUUAUAAAGGAAUAAAACGAGGCACGUGUGCCUUUUUGCAUGUACUUUAUGAAUAAGGAUCGGCUAACUCCGUGCCAGCAGCCGCGGUAAUACGGAGGAUCCGAGCGUUAUCCGGAUUUAUUGGGUUUAAAGGGAGCGUAGAUGGGUUGUUAAGUCAGUUGUGAAAGUUUGCGGCUCAACCGUAAAAUUGCAAUUGAUACUGGCAGUCGUGAGUGCAGAUGAGGUAGGCGGAAUUCGUGGUGUAGCGGUGAAAUGCUUAGAUAUCACGAAGAACCCCGAUUGCGAAGGCAGCUUACUAAACUGUGACUGACAUUGAUGCUCGAAAGUGUGGGUAUCAAACAGGAUUAGAUACCCUUGUAGUC
rnacentral:rRNA from 1 species